rnacentral:lncRNA from 1 species
AUGCUUUCAGUGUUUCUCUUUGAAUAUAGGUAUAAAACAUGUUCUGCCAGGCAGAUACCAAGGAAACUCAGGAAUCUUGAGUCCCACAUACCCACUGCCUUCUCCCAAAUCACCAAUCUUCCUUGCAGAGAAGCGAAGGAGGAUCUUGAAAGAGGCCAGCGCUUCUGUCUAGCUCAGAUGCUUCCAAAAAUAAACAGGAGCUGGCCGCAUUCCCAUGGGGUUUCUGGCCUGGGGCUAGAAUUGAUUAUCAGACAUGAAAGGGGCUGGCCCCGUGGCCGAGUGGUUAAGUUCACGCGCUCCGCUGCAGGCAGCCCAGUGUUUCGUUGGUUCAAAUCCUGGGCGCAGACAUGGCACUGCUCAUCAAACCACGCUGAGGCAGCGUCCCACAUGCCACAACUGGAAGGACCCACAGCGAAGAAUAUACAACUAUGUACUGGGGGGCUUUGGGGAGAAAAAGGAAAAAAUAAAAUCUUUAAAAAAAAAUAG